UUCAUCGGCGCCGGCUUCAUCGUCAAGAAGCAGGGCCUCAGGCGCGCCGGUGCGUCCGGCUCUCGCGCCGGCGUAGGUGGGUACGGAUAUCUGUUGAAGCCUCUCUGGAGGAUCGGAAUGGUCACAAGUGAUGAGUAUUAAGGCCAUAGGAAUUGCAAUUAAGCUCAUAUUGGAGGGAAUCAACCAUGCUGGUUACUUCCAGACAUGGGUAUUUGCAAUGGUUGCCAUCUCCUGCAUCAUAGUUCAGUUAAAUUACUUGAACAAGUGCUUACUUCUUUGCAUGCAUGGAGGAUUGGUCUGGGCAGAGUGCAAGUGAUAUUGCAUCAGAGAUUUGUGGGCUUAUUACAGUAAUAUCUGGGACUACAUUGUUGCAUUCUACCAGUGAGGCAGAUCCACCUACUUCAGGUAUAUUGAAGUAAUCUUGAGAUGACAAUUGAUGGAUGAGCACAUGGUCUGAAAAUUCAUGGUAUAUACCAACCAUACUGCUCGGUAUGCUUGAUUAGGAAGCGAUGUACUGAUACCACCUUAAACUGACCAAAUACCAAUGUGAAAUAUGUUUUGGUAUUUGUUUGAGUGUGUACUGACCAAUAUAUUCCACUGGAAAACAUGUGAGGUUUCUUAUAUGAAAUAUUAUAUAGAAAAAUUCAAGUUGAUUAUGUGUUUGUUUUUGUAUUGGAGUUGAGCAUCGCAACAGUGGAGGUAGUGCAUCUAGCUUGUUCAUCUCUUAUUGCUUAUCACUUCUAACAGAUUUUCACAUGCUUUGAUUUGUGGACACUGUUCUCGUCGUCUAAUAUUCACAUUUUCUGUAUAUUGUAACAACUAUCUCCUUCACAGCUAGGAUUGUAGUAUCUGCAACACAACGAUUGUUUUAUUUCCCUCUGUUGUGAUCAUUUGCCCUGCAUAAAUAUAAACAUUGUGCACAUUGGGUCUUCUUGUUAUGUAAGUUCAUUUAAUUAUAUGUUGAUUUUACUAAAUGUAACUGUACGAUGUAUAAUAUGUUUCUCUUAUAUCAUGAUCAUAUUUAAUGUUUUUAUGCUACCUUGCAGAUUUAUAUGCACAGCUCUCUCCCAAGAUGUUUUGGCACAUCCAAGGGAAUGGUGAGAUGGGAAAGCUCGAGGACAAUGAUAUGUCGUCCGGGGAGUUUGUUGCAGUCCUUCGACAGUCCGAGGAUUAUGUCACGUUAGUCUAUCGGCUCACGCGCCGCAUGAUGGAUCCUGAGUUUUCGCCUAAUCAUGCGAUGCAGGUGUAUGUCGGACUCAACUUCAUGAUCGAUGGUUGAAGAUGGAGAACCACAAGUUUUGUACUAGGCAGCAGCUUAGGAUUGCUGAUGGUGGCUUCCAUUUCAUGUAGUCUGGAUGCGGAUAAGUUCAGCUAUGUAUGUUAUGCAUAAAUUUUCAUUUAGUUGUUAAUAGCUGAGUUAUAAAUGUUACUUGGUUCAUGUAUAAUCUCAGAAGAAUGGUAAUAAUAGAUUCUUGGUGUAAUAUACUGUACAUCU